GGCUCCAGCAGUUUCCAGGCUCCCCUCGGCGGGGCUGAAUGAUCAAAACUGGUGGUGAGAAUUUUUCCGGGCCGUUUCUAGGCAGCCCUCCCCCUCCACCGGCUCCGACAACCCCCCUUCUCCUCCUCCUCCUCCCUUUUCCUCCCCCUCCCCCAGCGUCUGGGCUUAGUGAUCAAAAUAGAGGAAGAUGGUUGUCGCCGCAAUCCUGGGCUUUGCAAGGCGCGGUUUAAUGGACCGCCUGUCAGCUUCCUGCUCGCAGGAGGAGGUGACAAGCCGAGCGAACCGGGAAGGGCCUGGGGCCCAGCAGGCUGCACCCCGCGCCCGAGCUCCGGUCCCCCUCCACCCCUGGGACGCGCCUUCUAGAACGCGCGGUGGCGACGCCAAAACAGACCAGGGCUGCUUUUUCCUCCCGCCCCCCCCCCCUUUAAAACAAAGCAGCGAUUCAUCCCCUCUCCCCCCAGCAGCGCGGUUAGGUAGGAUGGGCUGGCGAGAAGGUCGCUUUCCUAGCCCAGGCCUGCGGGUCCCUCCCUGAAACGCGGUGUCAGAUGGUUACUGAUUAAUAUUUUGGCGAGGCCUCGGCGGCCGGCAGCGGAAUAAAUUUGGGGGGAAAGUUCAGCCCCUUGAGGACAGUUUCAAGUUGCCCUUCCUGAAGCCUCCAGCGCUGGUUUCUAGGCUGCCCUCUUUUGGAAGCAGAAGCUCCGCGGGGGGAGGAAGGAGGGGUGAGAAGGAAAGAAGAAAGGAACGAAAAUAGCCGAAUCCGAGGGGAACUAGCGGCGGUGUCCUCGCUUGGAGCAGGGCGCACAGGUCUCGGUGGCGGCCGGGGCAGCUCCGGGCAGCCAGGAGCAGAGACGGAGAGGAGGGGGUGAGGGGAGAGAAAGGAGGUAUUGUGUCUGUGUUCCUUGGAGGAGGGGGAUGGCUGCAGAAAUAAAAUAAACGCAGUUGUGCUGGCGAGGCUGCUGGAAGCCCGGGCAGGGGAAGGGGCCGAGCGCGGGGGCGCAGCCCUGGUGGGCGCCGAGCGUCCUCCACUCUUAUCCUGAGGCCUUUGUGGGCUCCCUGUAAACCCUCCCACGCCAGAGCCCCGUCGCUUCCCCACCCCUCGGGUUGCCCUCCAAUAUUCGGAGCUCAGACCCCGCUUCCCCUCACCCCUUGUCUCCGCCCAGGUCUGGAAUGUUUUCUUUUCUUUUAAUAUAGCGCAAGGAAAAAAAUGUGUCUUGAGAGCCGGGGUGGGGAACACAAAGCGCUCGCAGGGUGGAAAAUAACAAAGCCUAUUUUUAUAAAUGUUUAAUGUUUUCCCCCCUGGAUGCUCCAAGACGCCGUAAUUGUGACGGCGGGGCAUGUGUGCCAUAAAUCAUUUAGUUGCUAAUAAAAAUUCUGCAUGUUUGCCCUGGA